CUGUAGCUGCUGGCCUACACCACAGCCACAACAAAACCAGAUCUUCGACCUACACCACAGCUCAUGGCAACGCUGGAUCCUUAACCCACUGAGUGAGGCCAGGGAUCGAACCGGUGUCCUCAUGGUACUAGUCGGUUAGUUACCACUGAGCCACUAUGGGAACCUUAUCCUUUAUAUUAUCUUUUAUGGCCCUGAACCCAAACGGUCAACCAGUUAUUUUAUCUUUUAGAGCAAAAUGUCUUAGAGUCAGUUAGCUGUGCAGCAAAAUUGGUUGCAGCACAAAACUGAUGCAGCAGAGAUAUUUACAACAAAAAUACCAGACAUACUUUCCUCUACUCCACUGAAUUCUUAAUGUUGUAUAUAUUCACAUACACACAAAAGGUAUAACCAUGUCUCUUGUUCCUCUAUCUUCUGAUGAGGUUGAAGUUCUUAGCACAGCACCUUCAACAGCUGGGCCCUUGUGCAGCUGGGCCCUUGUGCAGCUCUUCAACCUUGACUGUGAUCAUUUCUCACUCUAUUCAGACCUUACUCAUUCAUUUAUGAAUUUCACGCCUUUUUAUGGAAUGCCUAUGAUAUUCUGAGUGUUACUAGGUUCUGCGGACCCAGCAGUGAAAAAACAGAAAAAAGUUCCACGAGCCUGGAGCUAAUCUUCUGGGGACAGGUUGUAGGUGGCAGAUAAAAAAUUAAACAGUAGAACGCGGAGUGUGCUUGAUCAUUAUAUGUACCUUGAGUAGAAUUAAAAAUAAGAGGGAUGGGUAUAAUAGGAGAGAUUGCAGUUGUAUAUAAGAGGAUUAGAACGACUUAUCAAGGUGGGUCAUUGAAUAAAAACUGAAGGGACAGACCCAGUGUGCCAGGGAGUGGGGGAGGGGCACAAACGGGGCACAGGACUCCGUGGGUGGAUAGGAGUGGGCAGAGGGCAGUAGUGGAAGGUGAGCGGCUAAGAGAGGAAAACAUCAGAUCACUCGGGGCCUUGGUCGGCCACCGUGAGGACUUUACCACUCAGUUUUUACCAGAGUGAAAUGGGGGAGUUCCCACCACGGUGCAGUGGGUUGAGAAUUAGACUGCAGUGGCUCCAGCCAUUGGAUUCAAUCCCCAGCCCUACACCGUGGGUUAAAGGUCCAGUGUUGCUGUAGAUGUGGUAUAGGCUGCAGCUGUGACUUGGAUUCAAUCCCUGGCCCAGGAACUUCCUAUGCCACAAGUGCAGCCAUGAAAGAUAAAGAGGGAAAGAGAGAGAGUGAAAUGGGGAUGGCUGGAGGGUUUGGAGCUGGAGAAUUACAUGCAUGAUCUGACUUACUGUAUAAAUGGAUCAUUCUGUCCGCUCUGCUGAGAAUAGAUUGAAGUGGGGCAGCCCUAGGAGAGAUGGUGGUAGCUUGGAUCAGGAUGGAAGUGGCAGAGCUGGUGAGACCCGAUCAGAUUCAGGAUCCUUUCAGAGGCAUCAGAAGGAUUUGCUGACACUUUGGACACGGGUUAUAGAGAAGAUACAACAGUGACUCUUAGGCACGUGGCUUGAGCCUCUGAAUGAUGCGGUUGCCAUGACUAGAAGAAGCAGACCACAGGAGGGGCCCGUGGGGGAGGUGGAGAGGGUAAGAAGCUCAGCACAGCGUGGGGCGUGUUAGGUUUGAGGUGCUUACUAGAGGGCAGCUUGAGACACUUCACACCCAGGAAUAGCAGCCUUCUUGCCUUCGCUCAAUAUCUCAUUCCUUUAUUUUGUACCUGCUAAAAUGUGUUUUGCGUUCUAUGCAUUUUGUGCUUGCUAAAAUGUACUCUGCUUUUGGCCUCUACCUCCUAUUGCAUUGCUUUGUAAUUAUCAUUUUAAUUUUUCUCUUCCUUUCACCAUACUGUCCUGCAUGACACCUGAUGUAAACAUCCUCAGCAUAAUGCCUGACACAAAAUAAGGCCUGCCACAAAAUAAAUAAUAAAUAGAAUAAUAGAAUAAUAAAUAAAAACAAAACCUGAUGCAAAAUAAAUAACAAACAGGAAUUCUCCUUGUGGCUCAGUGGGUAAGAACCUGACACAGUAUCUGUGAGAAUGCAAGUUUGGUCCCUGGCCUCACUCAGUGGUUUGGCAUUGCUGCAAGCUGUGGUGUAGACCUUGGGAAUAUGUAGCCUGUAGCCUGGGAAUAUGAUGCUGGUGUGGCCAUAAAAAGAAAAGAAAAAAAAAUUAACAAAAUAAUAAAUAAAACAAUAAAUAAAAAACAAUACCUGAUGCAAAAUAAAUAAUCAAGGAAAAACCCAUCAAAUAAUUCAUGUCUAUGAGGGCUAUAAUUUCCCAUGUUUAGUUGUUAGAUUUCUUCAUAUAUGCUGCUAUUUUUCCUCUUCCACAUAAAAAGCUGUUUGGCACACAUUGUUUUAAUCAAUGCGAAUUAAAUUCUAUUUUUGUUGAUGUGCUCCUUUCAUAUUCCUUUGGGCAUGCAAUUUAUCAAGCAUGAGUAAUAUCUGGCACACAGAGUCUCUAAUAGCUUCCUUUUAUUAUUAGAUCAAUGAUUGAAUUAUUGAGAAAGGAAAUAUCUGGAAAAAGAAUGCCCCAAUUCCUUGAAAACGGUGCUAAAGAGAAGACAUGGCAGCAUAAAAAAUUAACACUGAAGUUGCUCUGGCGGCACUUGAAUCCUUAUUUCUGGAAACUUGGAGCCAUUUUUAAAGUAUCUUUUCAUCAAGCAGUGAGUUAGUAAUGAUAGUUUGGUGUCUGAAUAUUGGAUGCAUUUUGUCUUUAGCAUUUGGCAUAUUUUUUAUUUAGUUUCCUCUUUUGGUGUCUUUUAUUUAUUUAUUUUUAAUUGUUAUUUCCCCAACACAGUUUUUUUUUUUCUACAGUACAGCAUGGUGAGCCAGUUACACAUACAUGUAUACAUACUUUUUUCUCACAUUAUCAUGCUCCAUCAUAAGUGACAGACAUAGUUUCCAGUGCUACACAGCAGGAUCUCAUUGCUAAUCACUUGGCAAAUUUUAAAAGAAAUAUUAAGUAAAAAACUAUUUGAACAAACAAAUUCUCCCUCACAACUCUCCACUUUCACUAGCCCACCAGUCCCUCUAUGGACUCAGUUUAAUAACUGAGCUAUUUUCCUCGUUUUUUUCAGAGACAGCCUAAGCCUAAAUAUAUAUUUAUAUUUGUGUCUGUCUUUUUUUAUAUAUAUAGAAAUGGGCCCCCACUGAAUUAUUUUUUCAGUCACACAGUUUUCUUUCACUUAGCAUGUCUUAAACAUGUUCAAAAAAAUAAUAGCAUGUAAUAGUAGCUAACACAUAUCAAUAUACUUCUUUCUUGUUAACAUCUCCAUACAUCCCACUGUACAGACGGGCCAUAAUCUAAUUUAAAAUACCCUACUGUUGGAGUUCUCAUCGUGGCUCGGUAGUAAUGAACCCAACUAGUAUCCAUGAGGAUACAGGUUUGAUCCCUGGCCUCACUCAGUGGGUUAAGGAUCCGGCAUUGCCGUGAGCUGUGGUGUAGCUCACAGAUUCGGCUGGACCCUAAGUUGCUGUGGAUGUGGUGUUGGCCAGCAGCUGCAGCUCCGAUUUGAACCCCAGCCUGGGAACUUCCGUGUGCAGCAGGUGUGGCCCUA
rnacentral:lncRNA from 1 species